UACGUAGGGGGCUAGCGUUGUCCGGAAUCAUUGGGCGUAAAGCGCGUGUAGGCGGUCCGGUAAGUCCGCUGUGAAAGUCGGGGGCUCAACCCUCGAAAGCCGGUGGAUACUGUCGGGCUCGAGUACGGAAGAGGCGAGUGGAAUUCCUGGUGUAGCGGUGAAAUGCGUAGAUAUCGGAAGGAACAUCAGUGGCGAAAGCGACUUCCUGGUCCAGCAUCGACGUUCAGGCACGAAAGCGUGGGGAGCAAACAGG
rnacentral:rRNA from 1 species